rnacentral:misc_RNA from 1 species
GAAAGCGGAAAAAAGUUCAGAAAAUGUAACAUAUAACCUACACUUGAACUGAACUCAACCUGACGAAUGCAACAUUUAGCCAUGGCUGCCUAGAAGAUAUAUAUUAAUGAAUACACAGUACACAAUGAUCGAUUAUGAUAAGCUCAUUUGAACUAUUGAGCAAAGAAAUUUUGCUUCUUGAAACCAAGUUUCUCGAGCAUUCUUGCUGUUUCCAACUUCCAUAAUGGGGGCCAAGAAAAAAAAA